AGACUUGGUUUGACAAAGCCC
rnacentral:misc_RNA from 1 species